AUAAUGAUCAAAUCUGUCUGGAUGAUCACACUGUAACAAAUUUCUGUAGUUUUCACAGCAUUAUUACUGUAAAAUGAAUAAAUCCUUACUGUAGAACCUGUAUACAGCAUGUUGCUGUAAAUCUGCAAAGCAUCAUGGUUAAAUUUUAAUGGUGGGUAAAUUCUACAGUAAAUUAAUUUUUUGCUGUGAAUCACAAUAAAGAAAUUUUUAGCAGGACUUUUUUCAGCAGCAGAAACUGAGGAGACUCCACAAUUUCUUUAGGAUUUGACUUCAACAAGGUAACUUUGCUCAUAUUUUGCAAUGUUAGGUUAAUUUACCAGGAGAGAGAUGCAGAGAGCGGCACUAGUAAUCCAUAUCAUUACAAACAACUGUUUGCUCAUGUAAAUUUGAUUUUUUUUUUUUUAUCUGUCAAUAUUUGAUAGCGUCAUCAGUUUGGUGGAGUAACAUUGUUGGAUAAAAGUAAACUGGAACUCUAUGCACAUGCACAUGCAUGUGUGUUAGCAAAGUGCGCUAGCCGUUUCUUCUUGUUUUUCUAGCUAUGGCAUGAUGAAUCAAAAACUGAAGCGGGCUGAAGUAAAACGCAGCAACAGGCUGCAUCAAAGAAACCACGACAGUCAUUUCAGUGCAGGGAUUGGACUCGGGCAGAAAUUAUGUUCAUGGAUGUGUCGCCGGCGCUGCUUCCGCUUUUCCGGUCAUGAGUAUGAGGUAACACAGCUCUGUUUAUUAUAUUAGAUACAUUUGAGUGUGUUGAAAAUGAUGUUAUAACAUUAUAACGGCUGCUGUGAGACACUGUUACACACUGCAAUAAGAUAGAUCAAUUUUAGAAUAUCAUAUUAAAUAUUGGAUGGCUUGUGUUGAUAAAUGGCUUGCAAUUAAUUUAAAAACUUAUUGUAUGAUGGAGAAAAUUCUGUAUUACUGUUACUAAAAUAAAGCUGCAUCUGAUUAUGCUAUGUUAACUACUUCACAAAAUAGUGUUUUUCUCUGAGGCAUGGUAAAGCAUGGUACUCGAACAAAAUCAAGAAAAUUAGAUUUAAACAAUAAGACUAAACGUGCUGAGCUAUAUAACAAACAUUUGUUUUCUGUCUAUAAAUAUAUCAAAACAGUUGUUCCCUCAUCUAUUAAAACGUGUAAAUAUUAAAGCAUCUUUGGUGUUUCCAUGGUUUCUACAAAAUAAAACCGGAAACCGAGGAUAACGCGGGUAUGACGCAAUUGACAUGCGACUCCUCACACGUCCCGGAGCCUUGGUUAAAAUUGCAAUUCUCUCUCGAUUUACAAAUAGUUGGAAACAUUUGGGAUAUUGUAAGUACUCAAGUGAACAAAAUAUAUAACACUGGCCUAGUGGUUUUUGGAUAUUUUACUGCAAAAAUCUUACAUAUUGCACCUUCAACUUGUGUACAGAAUUUUUUUUUUUUUUUUUAAAUUAGUAAUUAAAGCAUUGCCUAGACAAAACAAUGGAAAGGCACAACAUAUGUAUCCUCGUUUGGCCCAUAUGCAUUUUGAAUGUUAUAAAGUUUAUAAUGCUUAAAAUCAUCAGCUUUCACAACAGAAUCAAACUCAUUUCCAUCAACAACUCUGAAUGCAUAACAAUGCUCAAUGAAGAGCUCUGUAACAAGUUUUUUAACCACAAAAUAAACAUUUUCACCCGACACAAGAAUGUUGGUGAUUUUACAGAAUACUGGCAGCUCAUCUUUUAUCUCUGUGCAUAUAGCAAGAUCAGCUCUAUAUUCAGUGUCAUCAAGUUUAGUCCAACUGCUAGAGUAAAUGUCUGUCUGUACUGUGAUUUGCAAAGCAUUUGCCAAGUCUUCACCAUUUUCAUAGUCACUUAGAGAGAAAUAGUCCAAAUAGUCCAUUGGUCCAAAUUCUUUCCGCUGUAAACUGAGCGUUUCCCAGUGACUUCCUAUUGCCAUUUGAUGUUUUUUCACAAGCGACUUUGUGAUGUUCUUUUAGCAUGUUUUUGAAAAGUUUAUCACCUCAAAUCACGUGCUCCAAAAGUGCAAACAAAGUGUAAUGAUGGGUCGGCAGAGCGGGGAUCCAUUUGCAAGCUUUAUUAAGAACAGUAGUUACACAGGUAGACAGGGGCAAAGGCAGGAACAUAAACAAGGACAGGCAAUGGUCGAGGCAGGCGGCAGACAAACAGAAUCAGGGUACAGGCAAGGAUCAGGGCAGGCAGCAAACAAUCACAGUCCAGGAAACAGGCAAAGAUCAGGGCAGGCAGCAAGGGUCACAGAGAAUAAACAAUCCAACGGUACCAGGGUAAACAGUCCACAAGAAAACGCUCAGAGUUGAUCACCGGGGCAAAUCAAGACUUC